UAAAAAUUUUCAGUAACAUCGUUAUUAUAUAGUAAUUUCCGAUAAAAUAAUGCUUACAACAAUUUAUAAAAUAAUUUUUGUUUUCUUUUUUAUAAGGACAUGGGCUAAUAGCAGUAAAGCUCAGCUAGGAAAUAUACUAAGAGCAAAAUAUGGCAGAGCGCUGGCUCAGCAUGAUAUCUCUCCAAACAAACGGAAUGACCAUUCUUAUGUAGCACAUAAUGACAAUAACCACUUUAAUAAAUAUUCUGAACAAUAUAUAAAUAGUGAUAAUGAUUCAAAUGAAUAUGUUAUUAUAAUUGAUGAAUAUUGUGAAAAUAUAGCAGCUUAUUUAACUGGUAUUAAAAAAGAAUUAAUUGAAAUGCUAGCUAACCGAAAUGAUCCCCAAAUAAAUAAUAUACUGAUAAAAAAUCCAAACAUACAUGAAAAAGAUUUACUAAAAAUAUAUGAUCUUAUUAAACAUGUAAUUUCAAGUGACGAAUAUUUACAAAUUAUAAAUGAAAGUUGUGAGAUAUUGAAAAAUAGGCUCCCUAAUAAUAAUGAUGAGGCUGAAAUAUAUUACAACUCGAUAUUAUACUUACUCAAUACAUAUUUCUUUCUUACUAACAGUAAAAAAGAUUUUAAACAACGCUUUACUCAUAUGGAACAAGAUAAUCUCGAACAGCCAAUAUUUAAAAAUAAAAAAUUCAAAUUCAAAGCGAAAUAUUUAAAUAUAUUUAAACUUAAUGAUAAAAUAUAUAAACGAUUUAGAACUAUGUUACUCAAACAAAUGAUAAAAAAGGCAAUAGAUUUAAAUGUAAAAUUGUCCUAUAAAAAAAUUUUGAAGUUAUUGAGUUAUGCAUCAUAUAAGCCAAUAUUAGUAUAUAUAAUUUUCAUUUUAACAAUACCUAUUGGAUCCAGCGUCCUCACAUUUACAUUAGUAUCACUAUAUAUAUGCUUAUGUGUACACUCUAUAUAUAAAAACAUUAGAGACAUAUAUUACAUAAGCCGAAUUAUAGAAGGUUCAAAACUACCAAGCAGAGAAUAUUUUAAUUAAC
rnacentral:lncRNA from 1 species